ensembl:lncRNA
GCUGAAGCCACGCCCCCUUCCGGUUGCUCGCCCUGGUUUGUUACCGGUGUUUAGAACUUCCGGCGUGUUAUCUUGAUUGGCGUCGGGUAGCUACGUUUAGUGUUACCAACGGAAGCUACAGCGGCUGGAGCGGCUCCUGACGUGCUCUCCCUUGUGUGUAUGUGUGUGUGUGCCACGCAGCUGCCCAGAGAGGCUGAGCACCUGUGGCAGGGAACGUGGUGUCGUCGGUGGUGGUAUCCCUCCCCGUGUGAUGUGUGAACCCUGGGUAUUUUUCAUUUAAUCCAUCGUGUGUGUGUGUGUGUGUGUGUGUGUGUGUGUGUGUGUGUGUGUGUGUGUGUGUGUGUGUGUGUGUGUGUGUGUGUGUGUGUGUGUGUGUGAUUUUAUUCACCUGGUGACCUCUCCCUGGGCCCUGUUCCUCCCCUCCGGUGAUACAUCCGGCCACGUGGCUCAGUUCUGGAAGCUGGUUUAUUGGAAGAUCUGAGAGACUUUAACAAACUGGACCAGAACAUCUCCAGAACAGCAGGAGUUCUGCAGCGACUCCAGGCCUCAACCAAUCACAGCUGUUCUGGGUGCAGAGAACUCAUGGAUCUGAGAGACAACACGAUGCAGAGCUACUGUCGG